rnacentral:rRNA from 1 species
CGUAGGUGGCAAGCGUUGUCCGGAUUUAUUGGGUUUAAAGGGUGCGUAGGCGGUCUUGUAAGUCAGUGGUGAAAUACGGCAGCUUAACUGUCGAGGUGCCAUUGAUACUGCAGGACUUGAGUACAGACGAGGUAGGCGGAAUUGACGGUGUAGCGGUGAAAUGCUUAGAUAUCGUCAAGAACACCGAUAGCGAAGGCAGCUUACUAGACUGUAACUGACGCUGAUGCACGAAAGUGUGGGGAUCAAACAGGAUUAGAUACCCUGGUAGUCCACACUGUAAACGAUGAUUACUCGAUGUUAGCGAUAUACUGUUAGCGUCUUAGCGAAAGCGAUAAGUAAUCCACCUGGGGAGUACGCCGGCAACGGUG